GCAAAUGCAUCAGCUAGCAUAUGCUGCCACAGGAAAUAUCAUCAUGACCAAAUAUAACUAAAGAUCUGCCCUGGAAGGUACAUUGCUACUGACCAUAAAGGCACAGGAACCAUUCCCAGCUUUUUCUUCAGAACUAGAAGACAUGACACAGGUGGCCACUAGCAAAGCAUGAGGGAAAAGGCUUUGGAGGAAGAACUUACUUGUUCAUUGCAAUGGUGGAAUACAAGACAUUAUUCCUUCUCAGAGACAGAGAAGCCACUCUUGGAACCAGGCAGCUACAGAGGCCAACAGCUCCAAGAAAAGUGCAUCAAGCCUCCUGCAGCCUUGCAGGGCACCGCUUUACAUGUGGGGUGGUCCAGAGCCUGAGCCCAAUCCACAAUCCACUUGCAUCUGGUCUGUCAGACUGUUGCCUUGGAGGAGAUGGGGCGCCAUUUGUUAUCCAGCAACCCAAACAGCCAAACCUCCUCUGCCGCAACAUCAGGCAGCCUUAGACCCACCUGCUUCUGAACCUCAUCCCAGCAAUAAAGGCCAGGUCAUGGCCUCUUCUUAAGGCAGUACUGUGACUGACAUGGCUGGAGGCCUGAGAGGCAAGGAUGCAUGCACUGUAACUCGAAGCAGCUAGGUAACGCUUACAAGGGAAGGAGUUUUAUUAAUUCAAGAGACCUUAUGGAAGUCUGCUUCCAAGCUAGUGAUGAAUCAAAAAGAAAAA